GGCAACAGGGUGCUUGAAACUGAAAAUGUAAAGGAAAAACUAAAGGGUAUAAGUCUUGAAACUGAAAUCAAGUUUCUAGAGAAACUUGGUACAUAAAAAGUCUUUUCUAACUUUAAAAUAAAACCCCUGCUUAAAAUUGAAUUGCAUGUUCCAAUAGCUUCCACUCGUGAGCCCAUCUUGUUUCCAAAUAAGAUGCUUUGGUCACUUGCCACUAGCUUCCUUAAGUUUUGAAUAUCCUGCAAGGAAUUUGUUAUGUGAAUUAUUGAAUCGGAAUCAAUCCACCAUGUGUUAAGAUUAACAUUAGCCAUAUUAAAUUCAUAACAUACUAAAAAAAUUGGAUUACCUUUGUCGUCCAUCUAUUUCUUGAACUGGCUGCACUCCUUUUUCGCAUCUCCCUUUUGUUUACAAAAGAAAUUGAUGGAAUCUUUCUUUAUGGCAGCCUUGGGAGCUAUGGGCUUUUUUCCUUUGUUCUUCUUGAAUGGUUUGCGUUUCUUGGGUUGAGUGGUCAGGUGAACACUUUCUCCUUGCUCUUGUAGGAGCCUGGCUACCUCUUGAGCACACAUGGUCAUCAAUUCAUUGAUGCUCCAUUUUUCCUUAUGUGUGUUGUAGGAAAUUUUGAAAGGCCCAUAUUGUGGAGGAAGAUUGUGAAGGAUGUAAUGAACCAGGAAGGUAUCAGGAAUGAUAACAUCGAGCUUCUUCAAAUGAGCAGUAAUAUCCCUCAUCUUUGAAAUGUGUUCUCGAACUCCUUUAACACUGGUGGCUCCACCGAUCUACGCAUUCCCAAAGGAAUCCUGGACAUAAUGAACAUGAUGCAAAGACGAUUGGAUUACUCCCACUUUUCACGCAGUGCAAUCUCAGCAGCAGUGCUAGCUUCAAUGAUAGCAGCUGAUUCGUCUUUCCUUAUUGCAUAGUCCAUGUCAGUGCAAGCAAGGUGGAGAAGAACUUGUUCCUUCCAAAUUUUGAAGUUGUCACUCCUAAGCUCAGGGAUUUCACUAGUGAUUUCAGCGUAUUUAGAGGUAGAUGAAAUAGCUGCAAGAAUAAGAUUACAAUUUAGAUGUUAAAAAAAUGAGGCUUUAAUGAAUUCAUGCUUUACCAAUGUAGAAACAUGAUGAAGAUGAAAAUUUUAUUAAAUCUAAAAUUGUUUGUGGGCUAAA